CUAGCGACCCUGACGGGAUUCGAACCCGCGACCUGG
rnacentral:tRNA from 1 species